CUCUGGUCUCAAAUCAGGUAGGACUACCCGCUGAACUUAAGCAUAUCAAUAAGCGGAGGAAAAGAAACUAACAAGGAUUCCCUUAGUAACGGCGAGUGAACCGGGAAAAGCUCAAAUUUGUAAUCUGGCUGUCUUCGAUAGUCCGAGUUGUAAUCUAUAGACGUGUUUUCCGUGCUGGACCGUAUCUAAGUCCCUUGGAACAGGGUAUCAAAGAGGGUGACAAUCCCGUGCUUGAUACGACCACCAGUGCUCUGUGAUACACGCUCUACGAGUCGAGUUGUUGG
rnacentral:rRNA from 1 species